rnacentral:lncRNA from 1 species
AUGGUGGCGAAACAGCACAAAAUCCCAGCGGAUGGUGGCUGUAUUACAUCCAGUCAGAGGUUCCAGUCAGUCUGUCUGGAUGGUGGCUGUAUUACAGCCAGUCAGAGGUUCCAGUCAGUCUGUCUGGAUGGUGGCUGUAUUACAUCCAGUCAGAGGUUCCAGUCAGUCUGUCUAGAUGGUGGCUGUAUUACAUCCAGUCAGAGGUUCCAGUCAGUCUGUCUGGAUGGUGGCUGUAUUACAUCCAGUCAGGUUCCAGUCUGUCUGGAUGGUGGCUAUAUUACAUCCAGUCAGGUUCCAGUCAGUCUGUCUGGAUGGUGGCUGUAUUACAUCCAGUCAGAGGUUCCAGUCAGUCUGUCUGGAUGGUGGCUGUAUUACAUCCAGUCAGGUUCCAGUCAGUCUGUCUGGAUGGUGGCUGUAUUGCAUCCAGUCAGGUUCCAGUCAGUCUGUCUGGAUGGUGGCUGUAUUACAUCCAGUCAGGUUCCAGUCAGUCUGUCUGGAUGGUGGCUGUAUUACAUCCAGUCAGAGGUUCCAGUCAGUCUGUCUGGAUGGUGGCUGUAUUACAUCCAGUCAGGUUCCUGUCAGUCUGUCUGGAUGGUGGCUGUAUUACAUCCAGUCAGAGGUUCCAGUCAGUCUGUCUGGAUGGUGGCUGUAUUACAUCCAGUCAGGUUCCAGUCAGUCUGUCUGGAUGGUGGCUGUAUUACAUCCAGUCAGGUUCCAGUCAGUCUGUCUGGAUGGUGGCUGUAUUACAUCCAGUCAGAGGUUCCAGUCAGUCUGUCUGGAUGGUGGCUGUAUUACAUCCAGUCAGAGGUUCCAGUCAGUCUGUCUGGAUGGUGGCUGUAUUACAUCCAGUCAGGUUCCAGUCAGUCUGUCUGGAUGGUGGCUGUAUUACAUCCAGUCAGGUUCCAGUCAGUCUGUCUGGCGAUGUAUUUAUUGGACGUGUUACUAAUCGUUAUGAAGGACUUCCUGGCUGAAGAGGUUUGUCGACCAGUCUGCCAGUCGACCAGUUAA